rnacentral:lncRNA from 1 species
UGUAUAUGUACCACUUCAUCUUUGUCCAGACCUUGUUCUCCUAAUGACUCACAGUCGGUCUAAAAUUCUGCCGUCUUCAGCAGGUGUUUAAGAAGCAUACGAGUUCAAGAGCAGAUAGAUUUGCAGAAGUGGUAAAAGAUCUGUCCCCGGGAGAGAGAAAGCUGUCCUUAAACAAAGGAUUAGCAGCUCUGGACUUUUAAAGUGAUAGCAGUUGCCAGCCUUCAGCUGAGAAGCUGAACGAAGGGCCAUCCUUCCUGUCAUCAGUGAGGCAAAAUGAGGGGCAGAGAAACCGUGCUGGAAGGAAGCAAGGUCAUCUGCUGAACUUCCUUGACUUUGGCCCAGAUCACAGCUCAGAUUCCACUCUUGCUCCGAACUGACCUACCCGACUUUGGUGCUAGGCCUGGAGUGAUGCGUCCCUGCCUGCGAGCGCCUCUCAUCCCGUGAAGGCCGGAACAUGACCACCAGCAGCCCCGCGUGCCACGUCCCGGCGGUGAGCGGCCACAUGGCUCACUAUCCCGCCGCUCCCUACCCGCUGCUCUUCCCGCCCGUCAUCAGCGGACUUUCCCUGCCCCCACUCCACGGCCUCCACGGCCCGCCACCUCCGAGUGGGUGCAGCACCCCUUCACCUGCAAAUGUCCGUGCUCCUCCCGGGACACUCCUCGUGUUGAUGGCAGACGUUGCACAUCACUGUAAGUGGGUCAUUUGAAGGCAUCCACAGGGAGACAGGCGGAGGCGUUAGCCUGUCCCCACGCUGUAACAAGACAUGGUGAGAAUGUAUUUUGGUGCAGCCACUGUGGAGAACAGUAUGAAGCAUCCUUUAAAAAAAAAAAAAACUAAAAAUAUAGUUGCCGUUGUUGUUGUUGUUAUUGUUCAGUCACUAAGUCUUGUUCAACUCUUUGCAACCCCAUGGACUGCAACACGCCAGGCCCCUCUGUCCUCCACUGUCUUACAGACUUUGCUCAAAUUCAUGUCCAUUGAGUUGGUGAUGCUAUCUAGACAUCUCAUCCUCUCCUGAUCCUUUCUCCUUUUGCCUUCAAUCUUUCCCAGCAUCAGGGUCUUUUCCAGUGAGUCAGCUCUUCGCAGCAGGUGGCCAGAGUACUGGAGGUUCAGCUUUAGCAUCAGUCCUUCCAAUGAAUAUUCAGGGUUGAUUUCCUUUAAGACUGACUGGUUUGAUCUCUUAGCUGUCCAAGGGACUCUCAAGAGUCUUCUCCAGCACCACAGUUUGAAAGCAUCAAUUCUUUGGUGCUCAGCCUUCUUUAAGAUCCAACUCUCCUAUCCAUACAUGACUGCUGGAAAAACCAUAGGUUUGACCAGAUGGAUCUUUGUCAGCAAAGUGGUGUCUUUGCUUUUUAAUAUGUUGUCUAGAUUUGUCAUAGUUUUCUGUCCCA